UACGUAGGGGGCAAGCGUUGUCCGGAUUUAUUGGGCGUAAAGAGCGUGUAGGCGGCCUUACAGGUCAGCUGUGAAAACUCGAGGCUCAACCUCGAGACGUCGGUUGAAACCGUAUGGCUAGAGUCCGGAAGAGGAGAGUGGAAUUCCCGGUGUAGCGGUGAAAUGCGCAGAUAUCGGGAAGAACACCCGUGGCGAAGGCGGCUCUCUGGGACGGUACUGACGCUGAGACGCGGAAAGCGUGGGGAGCAAACAGG
rnacentral:rRNA from 1 species